GGGGGGGUUAACACUGACACAGAGGUGGAGGAGAGGGGGGGUUAACACUGACACAGAGGUGGGGGAGAGGGGGGGUUAACACUGACACAGAGGUGGAGGAGAGGGGGGGUUAACACUGACACAGAGGUGGGGGAGAGGGGGGGUUAACACUGACACAGAGGUGGGGGAGAGGGGGGGUUAA